AUUGAACGCUGGCGGCAGGCCUAACACAUGCAAGUCGAACGAGUGGCGGACGGGUGAGUAAUGUCUGGGAAACUGCCCGAUGGAGGGGGAUAACUACUGGAAACGGUAGCUAAUACCGCAUACCAUCGGAUGUGCCCAGAUGGGAUUAGCUAGUAGGUGGGGUAACGGCUCACCUAGGCGACGAUCCCUAGCUGGUAUAAGAGGAUGACCAGCCACACUGGAAUUGAGACACGGUCCAGAUUCCGCCGGGAGGCAGCAGUGGGGAGUAUUGCACAAUGGGCGCAAGCCUGAUGCAGCAAUGCCGGGUGGAUGAAGAAGGCCGUCGGGUUGUAAAGUACUUUCAGCGAGGAGGCGGUACUCGCAGAAGAAGCUCCGGCUAACUCCGUGCCAGCAGCCGCGGUAAUAC
rnacentral:rRNA from 1 species